GUGAGAGCAUACGAUUUAUUGUCAUCGUCAACGUAUUAUUUUGAAAAUUAAUCAUUAAUAUUGAUAUUUUCUCUUUUAUUAAACAGUUACAACUCCACCAAAACAAAACUUAAAUCCUAAUGCUCAUUUAAUUGAUGAAAACUUAGUUCCUUGCGCUGUUAUUCACUAUUCGGGAUCAUCAGCUCUCAGACCAGAAGUAAAACAAAAAUUUACAACUCUUGAAAAAGUAGCAUUGCAGGUGGCUAAAGUUAGGACUUCAAAUAAAGAAAAUCAAAUGAUAAACGAGGGUAUAACAAGUGAUACUACAAAAAGCGAACCAAUAUGUACUAAUACAAAAAAUGAAUCGAAGAGUAAAGUUCCAAAAUGGUUCAGUCCGUCGCUUAAAUAAUUUAUUUAGUUUCUAAUAAUUAUUUUAAUUCUUUU